UCAUAGGCACAGGAUGUUACCCUCCCACCAUAUACCUACACAUAAAUAAAAAUAACAAUUUAAAGGACAAAUUAAUAUAUAUUAUUUUAAUAAUCUAGUUCAAAUAUGAAGGCAAUUGAAAGUAAAUGGUGAAGAAAAGUCUACUAUGACAUCAGCAAAGAGAGGUAGGUAGGAAUGGCUGUGAUAAGACAGAACAGACCUGAAAUAAGGACAGUUACCAGGAUAAAUAUCAGAAUGCAUAAUAGUCAACAUGUCUGGGACAAAAAUUAGGUAUCAAACUAUGUAAGUCAAAGACUGGAAGCAGUCACAUACGUCUACUAGAAAUAGAUCCAGCAGGGAGAGUCAUUAAAGGAAAAGGCAAACUAAAAAUACACCAUCAUGAACAAACUUGAAUGUUUAUUUGUUAAGAUCAUUUUUCUGGUUAUAUGUCUCCUUUCUAGAGGAAAAGAAAAAAUGGGUAGGUGAUAAAAUCAUUUCCAAGAAGAAAAGGAGAAAGAAGCUGCUGACAUAGAAAAAUGAACAUGUUGUAUAAAACAUGUGGGAUAAAAUAGCAGAAUCUUCUAGAGUGACCACUACCCUGGGGCUGACUAGAACACCUGCUUUGGAGAAUGAAGGGAAGAAUGCUUCUGACUGACUGCUGAAGAACACUGGUCCAAUCUAGUCUUCCUCUUUAGUGGUGACUGCCUGUUGAAACUCCACCCACUUUUAUUCCAAGUUACCACCCAGACCCAGACCCAAGACUUCGAGUUGGCCCACCUCAAAAUCUACAUCAUCUGUGAACUCCUGGAAUUCGUGGAAGGCUUGGCCCUCCUGAUUCAAAGCUGCAGGAUCUCCAUAAUACAAGGCAACAACACGAUAACCAGGAGGAAUCCCUGUGAAGAACCAAUAUUGAUGGUGUAGAAGAAGCCAGAGGUCUUGAACUAGACCAUUGACUUAUUGCAAAGAACAUUUUCAAAUAAAUGUGUUUGGGGAGAGGGGUAUAUUGUGGAACACACUGUGAUACACUAUGGCUUCCAUGAUGAGAUAUUUUCUAUGUUCUGUUGUAUUUUGUUUAUUUUUCAUUUUCUUUUGGGAGGGUUGCAAGAACAGAGGGUUGAUAUGAAGGGACAAAGAGAUGAGUAGGGCUGGGUUAUAUGAUGUGAAACAAUCAAUAAAAUGUUGAAAAAAACCCAUGUAGCAUUUAGAUUUCAGCAUUUCAACAAUUCAAUCAAAAAUAACUUUCUAGUGUCAUUUAAGUGAUUGGCUAUCUCCAAACAGUAGACUUCUUUCCCCCUGGCUGUUAUGUAUCUUGAGUAAAUUAUUAUUGAUUUCUGAAUGUGCAAAUUAGAAUUGGAGAAACUCCAUAGUGUUUUUCUAUUAUAAUUUGAUAAAUUGAGCCAACUACAUGGUCAGUGAAAGAUAGGACAUUAAAAUUACUUUGUUAAAUGGCCUAUAUAUCAAAUCUAAAUGUAGUAUGAACUUGGUUUCACUCUUCAGGCUACCUAUGAGUAAAGACUAAGACAGUGAUACACAAUAGAUCUUGGCUAGUCAUAGCCUAGGUGUAUCCGCCCAUGAAUAGUAAUUAAAAUUUUAUUGGAAUGCACUACUAUUUGAACAAUUAUUGUCUCUGGUUGUUUUGUAUACAGUGGCAGAAUUGAGUGGCUCUGGCAGAUGACAUAUAAAAUAUAGGAAACCUACUAUUUGGAUUUCAGAUAAGCAAUAUACAUAAGACAUCUUUAUAUUAAAAAUUAUUCAAUAUUUAUUUGUAGUCAGUGAGGCCAUAACUUCUAUCCUCGACUGGGACAACCUAGCAUACAAAGCCCAAGAUAGUUAUUACUUGGCUUUUGCUAACUUAAUAUGAAGGAAAAAAUAUGAAGUAUGAAAAAUGUUUCUGAGUUUUAGGUAUACUUUAUGCAGUAAUUUGAUGUACAAUCCUGAACCAGACCAUGAUUCAUAUCUGUAAGAUAAUCUGGUAAUAGUCACCUGCUUCCCAGGGUUGUAUGAAGACAUCUGACAUAUUAAGGGAACACACAUGGAGAAAGGUACAGACAGAAGGGAAAGGGGUUUGGUCUACUUCUCAUAUCAUGCAAUGGAUUAUUAAUGCAAUCCCUAGUCUUUAUAUUCUGUGUGCAGGGCAAGAAGAAAUAGCAACACCACAUGGAGUACAAGUAGAAGGGAGAAGUAUCAUAUCCAGAUGUUACCCACAAAAUUUAACAGACUAAAUAGAAAUUAGAUGAAACACCAGGAAUAUAGCUUUUUAUUUUCUUGCAACAAAUUCAUCCUAGGCAAUAUUUUUCUAUAGAUAAGGAAGAUGCUAAUGUUUUUUCUUGCCUCGAAAACAAAAGUCACUCUUUGGGGAUCAUUCCAUCUUGACAGCUCUAACUUUAGUGAGAAGCAAGGCUGUAUUCUAGAGCAUUGCCAUGUAGGAAUCGCCUUUUGUUUGGAAGUUGAGGGAGCAGCUUGAACAAAAGGAAAGAGGAAGAAGAUGGUGCCUGUUUAUUCUCCCUUUAAACAAGUUUUCCAAACUACCUGACAUCCUGCUAUAAAACACUUGAGGAGGUAUUUGCCAGUCUACCACUACAGGAUGCAUCUGGAAUUGUGACUGAGUGUCACUGUCAAAAUCUGCUCUAAUUGGAACAUUAUCCUGAGCAGAAUGGAGACUAUCUUAUGUCCUUCCAUGAUACUUCAGAUGUCGGUGUACUAAGGCCCGAGAAUUUAUUGUUCAUUUGUUUCCUCAGUGGGUGGUGAUUACCUCGAUAUGAAAUAUUUUUAAUCGUCUCAGUAUUCUCAGCAUGUGGUCCUGUGCUUGUAGGCUCCAGAUAAAUGGUGAUCAAAUGACCUAAAUAAACACGAACCUAACAGAACUACUUCUUGUCCGCAGAUUCUGUUCUGCUUCACUUCGGCUCACUUCUUUUUUCCUUAAAAUAAUUUUGCAGAGGCUGGAUUGUAACUUGUUAUAGGAUAUUUACUUGGGAUUAUAAUUCGGCUUUUAUUCCUUAUAACUCUUUCCUCUCUCUUCUUUGUUUAUCUGGUAUACUGACAUGGAUUUUUUUCAUUAGUUAAUCAAAUGUGAACAGUUCCAGCUUGGUGAAUUCUAAGUGCUGUCUUCAAAUUCUAGUUCAGGCUAUGUCUACCUGAGGGUUUCACUUAUAAAUUAGACCAAACAGGUGGCUGGACAGGGACAGACAGUAGGAUUAUUAGUGCUAGCUCUCAUUGAACUGCCUAGGUCAACUUGUGCAGUCAUUUAAACUCAGCGGAAGCCAGCUUCCUCGAGAUAACAGGAAACAGGGGUUUUAUCAAUACCUUAUAAAUUGUGUGUAGUGUAGCUCUGUGAAAUUUGGAACCUCACUCAGAGGCUCCCCAAGUAUUUAAUUUUGACUGUGCAAUGCUCAUCCAAGAAUUGUGAGAAUGUUAAAGAAUAUUGGUGAAAAAUACUUUAGAUUUCUCCUAAAUAGCAGAGAAACAGAGGCUGUACUUAGAAGGAAAUGUAUUUGAGGUUUGCUAUCACAGCUCCACUGGUGAUGAACCAGAACACACUCUUGCAAGUACUUUGGAGGCCAAUACAAAUCAUGUAGCUGGUUCUUCUGGGAAUGAUUCGUGUGAUUGCUUAGGCUAAUUUUUAAGGGAACUCUGUGUCAGCAUCCUCUAAGAUGGUCAUUGCCUUGCUAAGCUUCCUUAUCUGCAUUAAGCUGCUUCGGUCAUGCUGGGACACUCUGCUACUCAUUACAACUUCUAAAGCACAGGUACUAAGGCCAAAAUACACUAGAAUGAGAACAUAAGAUCCACUUGGCCCAGGACACGUUUCCAGAGCAGGGGCCUAAAGCUACCCUUUCUUAAACUCAAGAUGGGUGGUCUGACCUGACCACCACAGACUUGGCACCACAGAAUUCAAAAGUAGUGACAUCCUGGAGUGAUUACUGGGAAUAUGAUACUAUGUUUUGUUUUCAGAUGUGUUAAAAUGUAAUGUUUGUUUUUAUGGACAAUUUGUUUGAACCUGUUUCCUGAUUUUGUAUUUUGUAUGGAAUAGAAAACUUUAUACUCUAGACAGACUUUAAUAUUUCCCAGCAUAGCUCUGUCCAAUUGCAUAUCUGGCCCUUAAUAUGAGGCCAACCACCCACACACGAAAUGCAUGACUUCAGGAAGUCCAGUCGCAGAGCCAUUUUCCUGCUCAUGGGCUUAUAGUCCUGCCUUUCUUUCAUGGCUACUACUAUGAGGCUUGUGCAGUAUCAUUUUAAGUGUUUGACUUUCUCAUUGAAAUUUGAAAAUAUCUGUCUGGCUUUAAUAUUACUUUAAAUUGGAGUCUCUGAAAUUUCCUCAUUGAAACAUAGACCUGAAGCCAGGUCUAAAGCAUGGAAACUGCAUUGAUGUAGAUGAUGUAGGGGCUGAUGCAGAGUGAGAACGGCUUCUGAGAAACUUUGAGAAAAAAGUUAAGUAUGGUAUGAGCUUGGGAAAUCUGAAAGUCAUCUUAUUGACAUCUUUAAUGUGAAAGACAUAGCUUAACCAUUCAAAUAAAGCUGUUGCUUUCUACCA